AUUGAACGCUGGCGGCAGGCCUAACACAUGCAAGUCGAGCGGAUGAAGGGAGCUUGCUCCUGGAUUCAGCGGCGGACGGGUGAGUAAUGCCUAGGAAUCUGCCUGGUAGUGGGGGAUAACGUCCGGAAACGGGCGCUAAUACCGCAUACGUCCUGAGGGAGAAAGUGUGGGAUCUUCGGACCUCACGCUAUCAGAUGAGCCUAGGUCGGAUUAGCUAGUUGGUGGGGUAAAGGCCUACCAAGGCGACGAUCCGUAACUGGUCUGAGAGGAUGAUCAGUCACACUGGAACUGAGACACGGUCCAGACUCCUACGGGAGGCAGCAGUGGGGAAUAUUGGACAAUGGGCGAAAGCCUGAUCCAGCCAUGCCGCGUGUGUGAAGAAGGUCUUCGGAUUGUAAAGCACUUUUAGUUGGGAGGAAGGGCAGUAAGUUAAUACCUUGCUGUUUUGACGUUACCAAAAGAAUAAGCACCGGCUAACUUCGUG
rnacentral:rRNA from 1 species